rnacentral:rRNA from 1 species
ACGCUCGACACCUACGGGAGACAGCAGUGGGGAAUAUUGCACAAUGGGGGAAACCCUGAUGCAGCGACGCCGCGUGAAGGAAGAAGUAUCUCGGUAUGUAAACUUCUAUCAGCAGGGAAGAAAAUGACGGUACCUGACUAAGAAGCCCCGGCUAACUACGUGCCAGCAGCCGCGGUAAUCUGAGCGGGCUGGCAAGGC